GACGAACGCUGGCGGCGUGCUUAACACAUGCAAGUCGAACGGUGAUGACGGAGCCUGCUUUGUCUGAUCAGUGGCGAACGGGUGAGUAACACGUGAGUAACCUGCCCCAGACUCUGGGAUAACCUCGGGAAACCGGGGCUAAUACCGGAUACGCGACCCCACCGCAUGGUGAGGGUUGGGAAAGUUUUUCGGUCUGGGAUGGGCUCGCGGCCUAUCAGCUUGUUGGUGAGGUAGUGGCUCACCAAGGCGACGACGGGUAGCCGGCCUGAGAGGGCGACCGGCCACACUGGAACUGAGACACGGUCCAGACUCCUACGGGAGGCAGCAGUGGGGAAUAUUGCACAAUGGGCGCAAGCCUGAUGCAGCGACGCCGCGUGGGGGAUGAAGGCCUUCGGGUUGUAAACCCCUUUCAGCAGGGAAGAAGCGAAAGUGACGGUACCUGCAGAAGAAGCGCCGGCUAACUACGUGCCAGCAGCCGCGGUAACAC
rnacentral:rRNA from 1 species